rnacentral:rRNA from 1 species
UACGUAGGGGGCAAGCGUGGUCCGGAUUUAUUGGGCGUAAAGAGCGUGUAGGCGGCUAGGUAGGUCCGUUGUGAAAACUCGAGGCUCAACCUCGAGACGCCGAUGGAAACCAUCUAGCUAGAGUCCGGAAGAGGAGAGUGGAAUUCCUGGUGUAGCGGUGAAAUGCGCAGAUAUCAGGAAGAACACCCGUGGCUAAGGCGGCUCUCUAGUACGGUACUGACGCUGAGACGCGAAAGCGUGGGGAGCGAACAGG